CUGCACGGCCUGGACAACUUCAAUGGCAUCGCAUGGAUUGAGUUUCUGAACAGCAUGGACAAUUUGGGAGAUAUUCUCUCCCACCUGAGAGAGGGAGACUUGAAGGGUGCACAACUCAUUUGGCUCAGAUAUGAGGGACACAUUGCAGCGGAGUUCGAUGAGAGGAAUCUUAAAGCGGUGCUCGAUGUUAUCCC